UGUUCGAAUUGAAGUAGGUAGUGAUAUACAUCAGUAAAAGGGACCGGGUCUUUUACUCUGGCCAGGAGAGGAAGGAAGGUGAGGAAGGAUGAACAAAAAGUUUGGAGGAGGGACGCAACCAAUUGGAACACCAUCGCUAGCAUGGUCAUCCGUUGUGGUCGUUGUUUCACUUUUAGCAGGUGCCUCUGUUGUGCACAAUAUCUUCAAGCCUGACCUGACAUUGCCAGCAGUGGAGAAUGUCACUGAGACCAAGGAACAUUCCCUAGGAAAAAAAUGACUAGCCCUCUCUUCGAGGCCCAAUAUGGAUCCAGUUCAGUUCUUAGAUCAUAAGACUAUGUAACGCAGAUUGGAGUUUCUGAACUCUAACGUACCAAAAUGAUGCAGGUUCGGAUGGUUCCUUUGUGAAUUCAGAUUUUGACUUUGUUUCAUCUUUAAACUUAAUUAUCACAUUUUUAAUGUACUCUCUGUCAUACCCUGUUCUUCUGGGUUCCUUUCAAGAUGAAAUGUACAAGAAUUUCAUCCAAGUAAUCCUUGAACUGAUGAAUCCUUUAUA